GUUUCUUUGCUGUUUUUAAUCAAUAUCAAACAUAUUGACUGACUACAUAACAAAUACAGAAAUUUCAUCUUGUUUCCCUCUCCCCCCCUUUUCUUUCAGAUAUCAAGUCCUUAGUCCCUGGGAAUCUGUCCGAGAUGUAUCUCCUGGUGAUGAAACUGUGGCCAGGUGUAACAUUUUGGGCUGAGGUCUCAGAAUAGUAGUAAUGUUAAAGACGUUUCAAUCCUUGUAUUUUCCUGUGAUAUGAGUCAGAGUCUCCAGCCAGCUCUCCCAGGGAACUGCUCUCAAACAAAUGAGAUAAUGGCUACUUUGGAUCAUGGCAAAUGGGAAUCUCAGCUCACGAAUCAACUUUGAGACUUGAGCCAGAUUGCAGAUUGAAAGCCCCUUAAAUGAACUGGUGGGCAAGUUCUCCUAAGGACCUUGAAUCCUGUUGCCACGCGUCGUUCUUGCUGGCGGGACAUUGGGCGCGUGACAAGUGGUGCCGAGACCCGGAAACCAACAUCGCCGGUGCCGAGGGGACCCUUCAGUGUGCUGAAGAGGAUUCAGAACUGCGAGAAGGUAAAUUAAAAGGUAAGCUUCGAGAGGCAUGCCCCUUUUUGGAAGAGAGCAUGUCAGAAACGGAGCAGAGUGAGAAAUUAGGCUUCGAGAGGCAUGCCCCUUUUUGGAUUUAAGAGAGCAUGUCAGAAACGGAGCAGAGGCAGAAACGG
rnacentral:lncRNA from 1 species